rnacentral:lncRNA from 1 species
CUGCCCUAGUUCUCUCAUUGAUCGUAAUCUCUUUGAGUUUCAAGGAUAGAGUGCCCACUCCUCUACAGCAAGUAUCUCAAUUGCACUUUGACUAGUGAGAAAAAGGGUAAAUCUUCUAUUUAUAGUCCUUGGACUUGUGUACAAUAUUGUUAGUUCUGAAAAGAAUCUUCGGCGAAGCUGUCAACAUCGAAGGCAUUGUGAAGGCAUCGAAAAAUUCAACAUGUGCAGCCCA